AGAGUUUGAUCAUGGCUCAGAUUGAACGCUGGCGGCAUGCCUUACACAUGCAAGUCGAACGGUAACAGGUUAAGCUGACCAGUGGCGAACGGGUGAGUAAUGCAUCGGAACGUGCCCAGUCGUGGGGGAUAACUGCUCGAAAGAGCAGCUAAUACCGCAUACGACCUGAGGGUGAAAGCGGGGGACCGCAAGGCCUCGCGCGAUUGGAGCGGCCGAUGUCAGAUUAGGUAGUUGGUGGGGUAAAGGCCUACCAAGCCGACGAUCUGUAAUUGGUCUGAGAGGACGACCAGCCACACUGGGACUGAGACACGGCCCAGACUCCUACAGGAGGCAGCAGUGGGGAAUUUUGGACAAUGGGCGCAAGCCUGAUCCAGCAAUGCCGCGUGCAGGAAGAAGGCCUUCGGGUUGUAAACUGCUUUUGUCAGGGAAGAAAUCCUCUGGGCUAAUACCUCGGGGGGAUGACGGUACCUGAAGAAUAAGCACCGGCUAACUACGUGCCAGCAGCCGCGGUAAUACGUAGGGUGCGAGCGUUAAUCGGAAUUACUGGGCGUAAAGCGUGCGCAGGCGGUUUUGCAAGACAGAGGUGAAAUCCCCGGGCUCAACCUGGGAACUGCCUUUGUGACUGCAAGGCUAGAGUACGGCAGAGGGAGAUGGAAUUCCGCGUGUAGCAGUGAAAUGCGUAGAUAUGCGGAGGAACACCGAUGGCGAAGGCAAUCUCCUGGGCCU
rnacentral:rRNA from 1 species